rnacentral:rRNA from 1 species
CUACGGGUUGCUGCAGUGGGGAAUAUUGCACAAUGGAGGAAACUCUGAUGCAGCAACGCCGCGUGGAGGAUGACACUCUUCGGAGCGUAAACUCCUUUUAUAUAGGAAGAAGAUGACGGUACUAUAUGAAUAAGCGCCGGCUAACUCCGUGCCAGCAGCCGCGGUAAUACGGAGGGCGCAAGCGUUACUCGGAAUCACUGGGCGUAAAGAGCGUGUAGGCGGAUUAAAAAGUCAGAAGUGAAAUCCUAUAGCUUAACUAUAGAACUGCUUCUGAAACUCUUAAUCUAGAAUAUGGGAGAGGUAGAUGGAAUUUCUGGUGUAGGGGUAACAUCCGUAGAGAUCAGAAGGAAUACCGAUUGCGAAGGCGAUCUACUAGAACAUUAUUGACGCUGAGACGCGAAAGCGUGGGGAGCAAACAGGAUUAGAUACCCCUGUAGUC